rnacentral:rRNA from 2 species
AGGUGCGAUCAUACCAGCACUAAUGCACCGGAUCCCAUCAGAACUCCGCAGCUAAGCGUGCUUGGGCGAGAGUAGUACUAGGAUGGGUGACCUCCUGGGAAGUCCUCGAGUUGCACCUC